AUCGGAACCGCGCCUCGGCGGACGAGCUUGUCUCGUUUGCUGCUGGCCGUGCUCUGCAUGGUGGGCCUGUGUGCAUCCCUCCUGCAGCCCGCGUCAGCACGGGGCGUCUCAAAGGCGGAGAUCGCUGUCCAGACNUGAAGAAUCACGCCGUCAAAGGCGGAAAACCCUGCCAGCGGAUGGUCCCGGGUGCCGUCACGUCGUGCAGCGCAGGCGCCAUGGUCGGACUCGAAGCAAUGAGUUCGGUAGUAUUUGCNCCCCUGCAUACCGAUGCAGGAUUAGCGUCCUUCACCGACAUGACGCUCCAUGUGCAAUGGAUCGGCGUUCCUCAGUUCAGGCCUCCCCGGAUCGGCGCGUAACGUCGGCAGCUUCGCGCUGACGCUCUUAUUGCGUCCAUAAAUCCCUGGAGAAAUCUCAUGACAUCGCCG
rnacentral:misc_RNA from 1 species